AAUGCAAAUAUCAUUUUGCUGAUUCUAAAUCUUGCCAAAUCUUGACACACACAAAAACAAAGGGCCCUAUCUUGAUGAGCUAAGUUGCAUGGUCUAAAGUGUGGGGCAAAAGUGCAACUGGGCCGUUCCAACUUCACUUUGCCAUUAAUGGGAUGUGUAAUUUCAUUCUGAAGUAAGGUGCACGCCAUUAAAGGAGGUGUACUUAGUCUCCGCAGUAGCUAUGGACUGCCAUCUCUCACUGUCUCCACAGGAGUGUGCGCUUGAAGCUGGAGCAGAGCUAUUUUAGGUGACAGACACAGAAAUAAGAGGUUUUCUGGGCAGAAAA